rnacentral:rRNA from 1 species
CAGCCGCCGCGGUAAAACGGAGGGUGCAAGCGUUAAUCGGAAUUACUGGGCGUAAAGCGUGCGCAGGCGGUUAUAUAAGACAGAUGUGAAAUCCCCGGGCUCAACCUGGGACCUGCAUUUGUGACUGUAUAGCUAGAGUACGGUAGAGGGGGAUGGAAUUCCGCGUGUAGCAGUGAAAUGCGUAGAUAUGCGGAGGAACACCGAUGGCGAAGGCAAUCCCCUGGACCUGUACUGACGCUCAUGCACGAAAGCGUGGGGAGCAAACAGGAUUAGAGACCCCCGUAGUCCCUGUCUCUUAUAC